AGCCCAGAGCCUGAAUCAGUGUGUGUGUUAGUGGAAGCGUCUGGAAAGGCGCGCGAUACAGGGUGACAGCCCCGUACACAAAAAUGCACAUGCUGUGAGCUCGAUGAGUAGGGCGGGACACGUGGUAUCCUGUCUGAAUAUGGGGGGACCAUCCUCCAAGGCUAAAUACUCCUGACUGACCGAUAGUGAACCAGUACCGUGAGGGAAAGGCGAAAAGAACCCCGGCGAGGGGAGUGAAAAAGAACCUGAAACCGUGUACGUACAAGCAGUGGGAGCCUCUUUUAUGGGGUGACUGCGUACCUUUUGUAUAAUGGGUCAGCGACUUAUAUUCUGUAGCAAGGUUAACCGAAUAGGGGAGCCGAAGGGAAACCGAGUCUUAACUGGGCGUUAAGUUGCAGGGUAUAGACCCGAAACCCGGUGAUCUAGCCAUGGGCAGGUUGAAGGUUGGGUAACACUAACUGGAGGACCGAACCGACUAAUGUUGAAAAAUUAGCGGAUGACUUGUGGCUGGGGGUGAAAGGCCAAUCAAACCGGGAGAUAGCUGGUUCUCCCCGAAAGCUAUUUAGGUAGCGCCUCGUGAAUUCAUCUCCGGGGGUAGAGCACUGUUUCGGCAAGGGGGUCAUCCCGACUUACCAACCCGAUGCAAACUGCGAAUACCGGAGAAUGUUAUCACGGGAGACACACGGCGGGUGCUAACGUCCGUCGUGAAGAGGGAAACAACCCAGACCGCCAGCUAAGGUCCCAAAGUCAUGGUUAAGUGGGAAACGAUGUGGGAAGGCCCAGACAGCCAGGAUGUUGGCUUAGAAGCAGCCAUCAUUUAAAGAAAGCGUAAUAGCUCACUGGUCGAGUCGGCCUGCGCGGAAGAUGUAACGGGGCUAAACCAUGCACCGAAGCUGCGGCAGCGACGCUUAUGCGUUGUUGGGUAGGGGAGCGUUCUGUAAGCCUGUGAAGGUGUGCUGUGAGGCAUGCUGGAGGUAUCAGAAGUGCGAAUGCUGACAUAAGUAACGAUAAAGCGGGUGAAAAGCCCGCUCGCCGGAAGACCAAGGGUUCCUGUCCAACGUUAAUCGGGGCAGGGUGAGUCGACCCCUAAGGCGAGGCCGAAAGGCGUAGUCGAUGGGAAACAGGUUAAUAUUCCUGUACUUGGUGUUACUGCGAAGGGGGGACGGAGAAGGCUAUGUUGGCCGGGCGACGGUUGUCCCGGUUUAAGCGUGUAGGCUGGUUUUCCAGGCAAAUCCGGAAAAUCAAGGCUGAGGCGUGAUGACGAGGCACUACGGUGCUGAAGCAACAAAUGCCCUGCUUCCAGGAAAAGCCUCUAAGCAUCAGGUAACAUCAAAUCGUACCCCAAACCGACACAGGUGGUCAGGUAGAGAAUACCAAGGCGCUUGAGAGAACUCGGGUGAAGGAACUAGGCAAAAUGGUGCCGUAACUUCGGGAGAAGGCACGCUGAUAUGUAGGUGAAGCGACUUGCUCGUGGAGCUGAAAUCAGUCGAAGAUACCAGCUGGCUGCAACUGUUUAUUAAAAACACAGCACUGUGCAAACACGAAAGUGGACGUAUACGGUGUGACGCCUGCCCGGUGCCGGAAGGUUAAUUGAUGGGGUCAGCGCAAGCGAAGCUCUUGAUCGAAGCCCCGGUAAACGGCGGCCGUAACUAUAACGGUCCUAAGGUAGCGAAAUUCCUUGUCGGGUAAGUUCCGACCUGCACGAAUGGCGUAAUGAUGGCCAGGCUGUCUCCACCCGAGACUCAGUGAAAUUGAACUCGCUGUGAAGAUGCAGUGUACCCGCGGCAAGACGGAAAGACCCCGUGAACCUUUACUAUAGCUUGACACUGAACAUUGAGCCUUGAUGUGUAGGAUAGGUGGGAGGCUUUGAAGUGUGGACGCCAGUCUGCAUGGAGCCGACCUUGAAAUACCACCCUUUAAUGUUUGAUGUUCUAACGUUGACCCGUAAUCCGGGUUGCGGACAGUGUCUGGUGGGUAGUUUGACUGGGGCGGUCUCCUCCUAAAGAGUAACGGAGGAGCACGAAGGUUGGCUAAUCCUGGUCGGACAUCAGGAGGUUAGUGCAAUGGCAUAAGCCAGCUUGACUGCGAGCGUGACGGCGCGAGCAGGUGCGAAAGCAGGUCAUAGUGAUCCGGUGGUUCUGAAUGGAAGGGCCAUCGCUCAACGGAUAAAAGGUACUCCGGGGAUAACAGGCUGAUACCGCCCAAGAGUUCAUAUCGACGGCGGUGUUUGGCACCUCGAUGUCGGCUCAUCACAUCCUGGGGCUGAAGUAGGUCCCAAGGGUAUGGCUGUUCGCCAUUUAAAGUGGUACGCGAGCUGGGUUUAGAACGUCGUGAGACAGUUCGGUCCCUAUCUGCCGUGGGCGCUGGAGAACUGAGGGGGGCUGCUCCUAGUACGAGAGGACCGGAGUGGACGCAUCACUGGUGUUCGGGUUGUCAUGCCAAUGGCACUGCCCGGUAGCUAAAUGCGGAAGAGAUAAGUGCUGAAAGCAUCUAAGCACGAAACUUGCCCCGAGAUGAGUUCUCCCUGACUCCUUGAGAGUCCUGAAGGAACGUUGAAGACGACGACGUUGAUAGGCCGGGUGUGUAAGCGCAGCGAUGCGUUGAGCUAACCGGUACUAAUGAACCGUGAG
rnacentral:rRNA from 1 species